UCUGUAACACCAGGGGAUGUCAGACUUGGGUCCACUGAAAAAUGUACAGAGCUAAAUCAUAGCAUAAGCUGUCUACAAGGAAAAAUGUCUUAGAUUGGAUGUACAACAGUGUAUGGGCGCCCCCUAGUGUAUGGAUUAUUUCUGCAUGCAAUCACUCUUUAAGGUGGAAGAGCCAUCUUAAAUGGAAACUGCAGACGGUCGCUCGCCUCUCACAUACAGCAAACAUGCGCUUAUUUUAAUCUGAUUAAUGCUUUUGAGAUUUUCUACUAAUUUACUUGGACGUUGCGUUUGCAUGUCUCUACCGCGCAUUUUCUCUAGAGUGUUGUUCGCGCAUGGAAGUAUUGCAACGUUUCGGUAAAUUUCGGCCAGUUUAUUGAAACGAUAAAAGUGAGCACCGUACCCAUUCAAAGCCUGCAUGUGAACAAUACAGCCGAAAGCAAUACUGCAGAAGUAAAUUAUAACCUACCGAUUCAACAAGGAUUUUACGCCCAGAUAAAGACUAGCUGUGCACUGUCUCAGACCUCAGCAGGACUGUGAGGAGGGCAGAGGACACAGGACCCUGUGUGAGGACUGAAGAAUGCUCAGUGGUGACAUCAACACCAAAUGCACGACGGGAGGAGGAACUUUGCGCAAUGAUCCCACAAUAAGAAAGCAGGGAAGGCAAAAGGAUCAUUGGCUCAGUUGACAACGUGGUCCUUGAAAUCAACUAUGUCUUUUUGGAAAUUACACAGCACAGAAUUAUGGGUCUUCCUGAGGAUUGCCUUUCCUACAGAACUCAAAGAAAAGUCAGAGUUGUGGCCUCACUAUGAGUCUCUACCCAUAGAGAAAGCUGCAAACAAAACAUCUGCAUUCCAUUCAGAGAGUGUAAGAGGUGUGAAUGUCAGAGUGUCAGGGCACUGGGUCAAUGCUUGCAACAUGUUGAGGAAGCAUAUUGCAGAACUGAAUGGUGUAGCAAUUAUAAAAAUAAA